UGAGCAAUCUGCCCUUCUCUUCGGAAUAAGCGUGGGAAACCGCGUCUAAUGCCGAAUACGACCUCCUUUCGCAUGAUCGGAGGUGGAAAGUUCCGGCGGAGAAGGAUGAGCUCGCGGCCUAUCAGCUAGUUGGUGUGGGUAAUGGCCCACCAAGGCGACGACGGGUAGCCGGCCAGAGAGGGUGACCGGCCACACUGGGACUGAGACACGGCCCAGACUCCUACGGGAGCAGCAGG
rnacentral:rRNA from 1 species